rnacentral:rRNA from 1 species
GACGAACGCUGGCGGCGUGCUUAACACAUGCAAGUCGAACGGAGCACCUUUGAAAGAGACUUCGGUCAAUGGAUGAGACUGCUUAGUGGCGGACGGGUGAGUAACGCGUGAGGAACCUGCCUUUCAGAGGGGGACAACAGUUGGAAACGACUGCUAAUACCGCAUGAUGCAUGAUCAGGGCAUCCUGGACAUGCCAAAGAUUUAUCGCUGAAAGAUGGCCUCGCGUCUGAUUAGCUAGUUGGUGAGGUAACGGCCCACCAAGGCGACGAUCAGUAGCCGGACUGAGAGGUUGACCGGCCACAUUGGGACUGAGACACGGCCCAG